CUUCCCGUGUGUGCCCGUCUCUUAUCUCCAACAGUCCUAAAAAAAAAGUCUCUUAUCUCCAACGGUCCGAAGCGGAACACGACGGCCGCCACGAUCCUCGCCGCCACGGCCGGGGAGAAUCGAGGAUGUGCGGGCCGCAGGCGAGCGGCGCCACGGCUUCGUGAGUGGUGGGGGCGGAUGGACACGGACGAGCACCUCUACCUGCUGGGCUCCUGACGCUCCCCGUCUCCCGCUUCGACGCCGACAAGGUAGGCAAGAACGUGUGGCGGCGAUCUCAUUCCACCUCUUCACGCAGAUCACGCAGGUUGGGUUCGGCUCGCGCCUCCUCCCCUCGUCCCAUCUCAGGGCUUGGAUCUCGACGGGAUUUCGAAUUUUCGAUUGGUAUAAUAUUGCAUUGAUAACAAUAUUUGACCUAUCUUGAUAAAAACUCGGUACUCGUAAUGCAAAAAUAUUUAGUUCCUUUACAUUGAAUUUAAAAGGUAAGUCAAACAUUUACCAUCCGUCUCCAUGAUAAUAUACGAUGAUAUUACGAUCGACAGUUUAUGAGAAACAGAUAAUAAAGAUAGACAGACUGAUUGAUUAUAUUACAAUAAGAUCACUCGCACUGCAUAAUAUAUAUCACAGUGCAUGAUACUACUUUAGUUACUGUAUUCACACUGCAUAGCAUCAUAUUAUCAUUUCAUUUAUCCAUUUGUAGAAUCCAAUUCCAAACAUAAAGUUGUGGAUAUGAUCUAUUUCUUAUAAAUUUUUCUCGUUUAAUGUGUUAUACUGUUCCACAAUAUGAUGCUACAAUCUUCUCUCACAUUCUUAAUUGCAAUGCCGCAUCAUCGUUUUCCUUAGGUGGCACUGCAUUGAUACCCUUUAUGAUACUUGCACCAGGACAGGUCUAAGGGCCUUCAGCAAGCAGCUUCCAUGACCGCUUGUGUGGUUGAAGAUGGAAACGAGCCUGAACCGGAACCUGAUUAGUGACGUGUUGUGUGGUCACCCUCUUGGGGACGUUGUCGGGGAGCUCAGGUUCCUUCCGGUUACGGCACGGCGACGUCUUCGGGAGGCUUGGAUCAUUGUUUGAAGCAUCUUCGUGUGUGGCAGUCUCAUCGCCAGUAUUUUGGGAUCUUUCUGCUCGCUGACAUGGUCGACGCUCCACGUCAUGGAGCAAGAGGGCGGAGAGCCUCUUCGGUAACAGUUUGGCGUGGGCAGUGCGGCGAAGUCCGGUGGUUCCUCUACGAGACGCGAGUUCAUUCUUGGUUGGCUUCCCUGGUGCUUUUUUUUUUGUGUGUGGUUCAGCCCCUCCAGUGCUCAUCCUCCCGGAUGGUGGCGUCCAAUAGUGCAUCUCUUGCUCAUUGUUUUCCGUUGCUUUCUUUGUUUAUCGGUUUUUAUUUUGAUCGGCUUUGUAAGAGGUUUUUUCAACACAUUGUAUCAUUCAGCCAUGUGGCUUUAUAUAUAAAGCAGGACGAAACCAUAUUUCAAGGGUUGCAUGACGAGAUA